GGGGCCGACCAGGCAUCGACCGGACAGGGAAGGCCGGCCGUGGCGCGCCGUGGAGCAUCCUGGCCACGUAAAAAGGAUGCAAACACACAACUGCUGAACCGCAGUACGCUCUUGCUGCCUAACUGAGCAGCACGAUCGCCGUCCGACGCCCGAUGGGGCGGCGAUCGUAGACAUCGGGCUGGCUCCGAAGGGCUGACAGCCGCCGGAGGAGCGAGACACUCGGCUGUCAUGUCCCGGAGAACCGCCGUCGUCGGCGAUUCCCGGGCCGAGAACACACGACGACUACGCGCGUAGAGGCGACCGGCUGACUGUUUCGGCACGGGGGUUCGAUUCCCCCCGGCUCCAUUC
rnacentral:tmRNA from 1 species